rnacentral:rRNA from 1 species
GAGGAAAAGAAACUAACAAGGAUUCCCCUAGUAACGGCGAGUGAAGCGGGAAGAGCUCAAAUUUGAAAUCUGGUGGCCUCAGGUCAUCCGAGUUGUAAUCUAUAGAAGUGUUUUCCGUGCUGGCUCAUGUACAAGUCCCUUGGAACAGGGCGUCAUAGAGGGUGAGAAUCCCGUCCUUGACAUGAACUACCAGUGCUCUGUGAUACAUUUUCAACGAGUCGAGUUGUUUGGGAAUGCAGCUCAAAAUGGGUGGUAAAUUCCAUCUAAAGCUAAAUAUUGGCGAGAGACCGAUAGCGAACAAGUACCGUGAGGGAAAGAUGAAAAGCACUUUGGAAAGAGAGUUAAACAGUAUGUGAAAUUGUUAAAAGGGAAACGAUUGAAGUCAGUCGUGCUCUUUGGAUUCAGCCGGUUCUGCCGGUGUACUUCCUUUGAGUGGGGUCAACAUCAGUUUUGAUCGCUGGAUAAAGGCUGGAGGAACGUAGCACCCCCGGGUGAACUUAUAGCCUCCUGUCACAUACAGUGGUUGGGACUGAGGAACGCAGCACGCCUUUAUGGCCAGGAUCCGUCCAUGUACGUGCUUAGGAUG